GAAAUGCGAUAAGUAAUGUGAAUUGCAGAAUUCAGUGAAUCAUCGAAUCUUUGAACGCACAUUGUGCCCGCCAGUAUUCUGGCGGGCAUGCCUGUUCGAGCGUCAUUACAACCCUCAGGCCCCCGGGCCUGGCGUUGGGGAUCGGCGGAAGCCCCCUGCGGGCACAACGCCGUCCCCCAAAUACAGUGGCGGUCCCGCCGCAGCUUCCAUUGCGUAGUAGCUAACACCUCGCAACUGGAGAGCGGCGCGGCCACGCCGUAAAACACCCAACUUCUGAAUGUUGACCUCGAAUCAGGUAGGAAUACCCGCUGAACUUAAG
rnacentral:misc_RNA from 1 species